AGAAAUGCAAAUUAAAACAAUUCUGAAGUAUCAUCUCACAAGUAUAAAAUUGGCUAAAAUGAUAAAAGUGCAAAAUAAGGAGGGGAUGUGGAAAAAUAGGAACAUUAACACAUUCUUGUUAGAACUCUGAACUGAUCCAACCAUUUUGGAGAGCAAUCUCAUUAAGCUCAAAGAAUAUAAAACUGUGGAUAUUUUUUGACUCAGUAAUAACACUAUUACAUUUAUUUCCCAAGGUGAUCAAAGAAAAAGGAAAAGAAACUCCAUGUUCUGAAAUAUUUGUAGUAGCUCUUUCUUGUGGUUGCAAAGAACAAGAAACUGAACAGAUAUUCAUCAAUUGGACAAUAUCUGAAAAAUUUGUGGAAUGUGAUUGUAAUGGAAUACUAUUCUGCCAUAACAGAUGACAAAACAAGAUGGCCACAAAAGAUCCUGUAAAAACUUAUAUGAAGUGAUGCAAAGUGAAGUGAGCAGAACCAGGAGAAUGUUGUACACAGUAACAAUAAUGCAUGAUCAACUGCAAAUGACUUAACUAUUAUCAACAAAGCAAGGAUCCUUGACAACUCCAAGGCACUCAUGAUGAAAAAGGAUAUUCAACACUUCAGAGGGAACAGCUGGAAUCCAGAUGCAGAUUGAAACAUCCCAUUAUUCUACUUCUUUCCUCCAUGACUUUUUCUCUAGUGUAUCUAAAGGACUUGUUUUGUCCCUUUUCAGUGAACAUGGAGCUUAUUAAAGGAACCCAUAGAAGGGAAGACAAUGUUUCUAGUAACAUGAUAACCAGAAUGAAGACAGAAUUUAUAUUCUGGGUUUGAAUAAUCACCAGGAAGAAUCAUGGGGGUCAAGGCAAGAGGAGAAGGAGAAGAUACAGUCUCCUUCAUCCCUCUCCCUUUUAGCUGGAGAAGAAUCUUUAGAGCUUCAAAAGGUCAAGAGAACAUUGGACUUCCCGCUUUCCUAAUGAUUUUAUAACUGCAACUCUGG
rnacentral:lncRNA from 1 species